GGCCGCAGUAUAUUAACUGUGCAAAGGUAGCAUAAUCAUUAGUCUUUUAAUUGAAGGCUGGUAUGAAUGGUUGGACAAAAUAUUAACUGUUUCAUAUAAAUUUUUAUUAGAAUUUUAUUUUUUAGUUAAAAAGCUAAAAUUUAUUUAAAAGACGAGAAGACCCUAUAAAUCUUUAUAUUUAAAUUAUUGUAAUUUUUUAGAAAUUUUAUUUUAUUAUAAUUAAUAAUAUUUUAUUGGGGUGAUAUUAAAAUUUAAUAAACUUUUAAUUAAUUUUUCAUUAAUUUAUGAAUUAUUGAUCCGUUAUUAACGAUUAAAAAAAUAAGUUACUUUAGGGAUAACAGCGUAAUUUUUUUGGAGAGUUCAUAUUAAUAAAAAAGAUUGCGACCUCGAUGUUGGAUU
rnacentral:rRNA from 1 species